rnacentral:rRNA from 1 species
CCUACGGGUGGCAGCAGUAGGGAAUCUUCCACAAUGGACGAAAGUCUGAUGGAGCAACGCCGCGUGAGUGAAGAAGGGUUUCGGCUCGUAAAGCUCUGUUGGUAGUGAAGAAAGAUAGAGGUAGUAACUGGCCUUUAUUUGACGGUAAUUACUUAGAAAGUCACGGCUACUACGUGCCAGCAGCCGCGGUAAUACGGAGGUGGCAAGCGUUGUCCGGAUUUAUUGGGCGUAAAGCGAGUGCAGGCGGUUCAAUAAGCCUGAUGUGAAAGCCUUCGGCUCAACCGAAGAAGUGCAUCGGAAACCGGGCGACUUGAGUGCAGAAGAGGACAGUGGAACUCCAUGUGUAGCGGUGGAAUGCGUAGAUAUAUGGAAGAACACCAGUGGCGAAGGCGGCUGUCUGGUCUGCAACUGACGCUGAGGCUCGAAAGCAUGGGUAGCGAACAGGAUUAGAUACCCGUGUAGUC